CACAUGUAAUACUGAGGCAGGAAAUGGUAAGGAGAGAGAAGUAGCAAGGGAGGGAGAAUAAAGAAGGAAUGUAGCAUUCACAGGACCGCCGGCUGGUGCAGGAUGUCAUCACUUCUGGUGAUUGAGGUCCAGCCGCGACUGAAAGUGUAUGGACCAAAAGUUGGUGCGGACGGCUGGGGGAUCCAGGAGGCACCCUGCUGGCCAGAAACAAGGGACAUGAUGAUGGUGUGGCCUAACUUGACCAUUAGCCUACAGCACCCACUUGCCAAGUACUUCACCUAUAACAGCCUCCUUUCUCAUUCACUGGUACCUUUCAGUCACCAGUUCUCUUCUGUAAGUAAUGAAAACUCAAGAUCAUAGACACAUAUAUUUAAAUGGAACUGGACACCGCAGAGUCUAAAACUAUAUACAGAAAACAGUAGGUCAGAUCUUCAGUAUAGUACAAGCAACCUUCACUGAAGAGUAUGCUCACCAGUUUUCCAAAUAGCACUAAUAAAUGUUUUGCUGGACAAUUCUCUCAAACAAUGCAAGCCUUUUCCAAAAUGUGCAUGCAUAGGUAAAUGUCUUGUAUAGAAAUAUUUCA